GAUGAAGAACGCAGUGAAAUGCGAUACUUGGUGUGAAUUGCAGAAUCCCGUGAACCAUCGAGUCUUUGAACGCAAGUUGCGCCCGAGGCCACUUGGCCGAGGGCACGCCUGCCUGGGAGUCACGCCAAACACGCUCCCACCACUCAUUGGGUUGUGGGAUGCGGCAUGUGGCCCCCCGUCUCGCAAGAGGCUGUGGGCCAAAGAUGUGGCUGCCGGCGUAUCGUGCCGGACACAGCGCGUGGUGGGCGAACUCGCUUUACUUACCGCAGUGCGUUCGGCCCGUAGCCGACGUGAUGGCCUUGGACCCUAUGAACGGGGCGCAUGACGCCCUGACCGCGACCCCAGGUCAGGCUGGACUACCCGCUGAAUUUAAGCAUAUCAAUAAGCGGAGGA
rnacentral:misc_RNA from 1 species